GACGAACGCUGGCGGCGUGCUUAACACAUGCAAGUCGAACGGUAAGGCCCUUCGGGGUACACGAGUGGCGAACGGGUGAGUAACACGUGGGUGAUCUGCCCUGCACUUCGGGAUAAGCCUGGGAAACUGGGUCUAAUACCUGAUAGGACUCCGGACUGCAUGGUCUGGGGUGGAAAGCUUUUGCGGUGUGGGAUGGGCCCGCGGCCUAUCAGCUUGUUGGUGGGGUGAUGGCCUACCAAGGCGACGACGGGUAGCCGGCCUGAGAGGGCGACCGGCCACACUGGGACUGAGAUACGGCCCAGGCUCCUACGGGAGGCAGCAGUGGGGAAUAUUGCACAAUGGGCGCAAGCCUGAUGCGGCGACGCCGCGUGAGGGAUGACGGACUUCGGGUUGUAAACCUCUUUCAGCAUCGACGAAGCGAAAGUGACGGUAGGUGCAGAAGAAGGACCGGCCAACUACGUGCCAGCCGCCGCCGUAA
rnacentral:rRNA from 1 species